rnacentral:rRNA from 1 species
UGAUCCUGGCUCAGAACGAACGCUGGCGGCAGGCUUAACACAUGCAAGUCGAACGGUCUCUUCGGAGGCAGUGGCAGACGGGUGAGUAACGCGUGGGAAUCUACCUAUCUCUACGGAACAACAGUUGGAAACGACUGCUAAUACCGUAUACGCCCUUAGGGGGAAAGAUUUAUCGGAGAUAGAUGAGCCCGCGUUAGAUUAGCUAGUUGGUGAGGUAAUGGCUCACCAAGGCGACGAUCUAUAGCUGGUCUGAGAGGAUGAUCAGCCACACUGGGACUGAGACACGGCCCAGACUCCUACGGGAGGCAGCAGUGGGGAAUAUUGGACAAUGGGCGCAAGCCUGAUCCAGCCAUGCCGCGUGUGUGAUGAAGGCCCUAGGGUUGUAAAGCACUUUCAACGGUGAAGAUAAUGACGGUAACCGUAGAAGAAGCCCCGGCUAACUUCGUGCCAGCAGCCGCGGUAAUACGAAGGGGGCUAGCGUUGUUCGGAAUUACUGGGCGUAAAGCGUACGUAGGCGGACUAUUAAGUUAGGGGUGAAAUCCCAGGGCUCAACCCUGGAACUGCCUCUAAUACUGGUAGUCUUGAGUUCGAGAGAGGUGAGUGGAAUUCCGAGUGUAGAGGUGAAAUUCGUAGAUAUUCGGAGGAACACCAGUGGCGAAGGCGGCUCACUGGCUCGAUACUGACGCUGAGGUACGAAAGUGUGGGGAGCAAACAGGAUUAGAUACCCUGGUAGU